ACAGACUACUAGCAAUAGCUUAAAACUCAAAGGACUUGGCGGUGCUUUAUAUCCCUCUAGAGGAGCCUGUUCUAUAAUCGAUAAACCCCGAUAAACCUCACCACCUUUCGCUAAUUCAGUCUAUAUACCGCCAUCUUCAGCAAA
rnacentral:rRNA from 1 species